UUGGUCAAUGGCCGAAAGGCUGAACCAGUAACUUGGAAGAAUGAAAGUGUAUUAAAUUAAUACAUAACGAAUACCUCGUAUAAAGUUCUAAAUAGAAUAAUGAUAAUGACAAUUAUCUAUUUAUAAGUCUUGACCAAAUUACGUGCCAGCAGUCGCGGUAAUACGUAGAAGACUAGUGUUAGUCAUCUUUAUUAGGUUUAAAGGGUACCUAGACGGUAAAUUAAACUCUAAAUGAGUACUUUUUUACUAGAGUUUUAUGUGAGAGGGAAGAAUUUCUGGAGUAGGGAUAAAAUACUUUGAUACCAGAAGGACUGGUAACGGCGAAGGCAUCCUUCUAUGUAAAAACUGACGUUGAGGGACGAAGGCUUGGGUAGCAAUCAGGAUUAGAUACCCUAGUAGUCCAAGCAGACAAUGAUGAAUGUCAAAGGCUAGAUAAUUUUGGCCUAUAAAUGAAAGUGUAAGCAUUCCACCUCAAGAGUAAUAUGGCAACAUAAAAACUGAAAUCAUUAGAUCCGUUCCUGAAACCAGUAGUGAAGUAU
rnacentral:rRNA from 1 species